rnacentral:rRNA from 1 species
CCCUUAGAUGUUCUGAGCCGCACGCGCGCUACACUGAUGCUUUCAACGAGUCUAAAACCUGCUCUGAUAGGGGUGGGUAAUCUUUUGAAUGUGCAUCGUGAUUGGGAUAGAUGAUUGCAAUUUUUCAUCUUCAACGAGGAAUGCCUAGUAAACGCAAGUCAUCAGCUUGCAUUGAUUACGUCCCUGCCCUUUGUACACACCGCCCGUCGCUCCUACCGAUUGAAUGAUCCGAUGAAUAUCAUGGAUUGAGGAUGCAAGUAGGUUAGCCUAUCUUCAUCUUCGAGAAGUGAAGUAAAUCUUAUCAUUUAGAGGAAGGAGAAGUCGUAACA